AUGCCGAUCUCCGCCGGCAUCCGCGCGCCGCCGCAAGGGGCGUCGGUGUACGUCCCUGGGAGCCGGAUCCUCCGCGUCCCCGUUCCUCAACUGGCGGCGGGCGGCGUCCGGCGCAGGAGGCUCGGGGUCGUGGUGGCGGCGGCCUCCUCCGCGGCGUCACCCGACGAGCUCCACGCGCGCGGGAGGCAUCUCCACGGUUUCCCCGAGAAAUCUUUACUUUGGAACUUGAUAAAAGAUGUAGAACCUUUGGAUCUAAGUGUAGUCCAGAGAGAUGUUCCUCCUGAAACUGUGGAUGCAAUGAAGAGGACUGUUUCGGGCAUGUUGGGUCUGCUUCCGUCUGAUCAGUUCCGUGUUGUCGUGGAGGCCCUUUGGGAUCCCUUCUUCAAGUUGGUGAUAUCUUCAAUAAAGACAGGGUACACUCUGUCUAAUGCUGAAUACAGGCUUUCCCUUGAAAGAAUCCUAGAGUUGUCUGAUGAUGAAACUGAGUGCAAGGAAAGAGAUAGCACUGAAUAUAGUCAAGGAUCUAUUUUGAGAUUAUCAGAAGACGAUGAAGCGGCUAAUGAAUCAGAAAAGAGGGAUGGCAAUUUAUUAUCGGAAAAUAUGGGUGGAUUAGAUAGCUUAAACGCUCAAGCAAAAGAACAUAUUCUCCAAUUGCAGUCUCGCUUGGAUUCUAUGGAAAGGGAGCUACAUGAGCUCAAGAAGAAAAAUUCUUCCUUGCAAAUGCAACAGUUUGCUGGAGAAGAAAAAAAUGAGUUACUGGACUACUUGAGAUCAUUAUCACCUGACACGGUUAUCGAACUCUCGGAACCUUCCUGCCCUGGUGUGCAGGAAGCUAUUCAUUCCGUGGUACAUGGUCUUCUAGCAACUCUCUCCCCCAAAAUGCAUGCAAAGCCCCCUCCACCAUCAGAGAACAUGGCUGGUGGAACCCUGAAUUACGGGAAUGGGGAUGAUGACCGUGCUGAACUCGUGGAGGAUGUAUCGCUCCCAUUUCAGCCCCUCAUAUCUAUUCCACGGGAUCAUCUUGCGCGUCUAUUAUUCUGGUGUAUGCUGCUGGGCCACUACAUCCGAGGCCUCGAGCGCCGGUUAGAGCUUUCGCAGCUCCUGGAAAUGUCAUGUGACACAAGGUUGUGA
rnacentral:rRNA from 1 species